GGUGGUGUCAGGGCUCAGCAGACUGCACUGUGUUUUCCCCGGCCAGCGCAGUCUUUUUCCCUCUCCCCUCCUGGCAGGUGAUUCGAGUUGACUGGUGGGCGGAGACACACACCUGCGGCUCGUUCAGCGGCGCGCGGCGGCGCUAUAAGAACUGCGCUCAGACAGCCGAGAGAUGCCAGAUUGUUAACCUAAAGUGGUCUGCCUCCGCCUUGGGUCCCGUCCCAAGUGGCUCUCCCAAGCCUUGACGUCGUCAGUCAGGUCUCCCGUAAAUUGAUCUUCUGGAACCCGCUCCUCCAUCUGGUUCUCUUGGCUGUCAACGGAUCACCUUCACGCCGCUGCUGCUCGGAUCCCUCUCCGCUCCGCCGGACCGCCCACCUGCCUCUCAUUCAUCUGCGGGAGGCUGCCUCUGUGCCCGUCUUUCCACGCCACUCCCCCCGGCUCAGUUCCUGCGCUACGCGAUUUCACUCGCUUCCUCCAUACCGUCCCCUCAAACAAUCCACGUUGAUGCUCCUUGUCUUGCACGUUUAACAAUAAACUUCUAAACCUG